rnacentral:rRNA from 1 species
UACAGAGGCCUCGAGCGUUAGGCGGAAUCACUGGGCUUAAAGCGUGUGUAGGCGGACUUCUAAGUACCUUGUGAAAUCCCACGGCUCACCCGUGGAACUGCUUGGUAUACUGGUUGUCUUGAGCCUUCUAGGGGCGAGUGGAACAAAUGGUGGAGCGGUGGAAUGCGUAGAUAUCAUUUGGAACGCCAAUGGUGAAAACAACUCGCUGGGGAAGUGCUGACGCUGAGACACGAAAGCCAGGGGAGCGAACGGG